rnacentral:rRNA from 1 species
ACGUAGGUGGCAAGCGUUGUCCGGAUUUAUUGGGCGUAAAGCGAGCGCAGGUGGUUCUUUAAGUCUGAUGUGAAAGCCCCCGGCUCAACCGGGGAGGGUCAUUGGAAACUGGGGAACUUGAGUGCAGAAGAGGAGAGUGGAAUUCCAUGUGUAGCGGUGAAAUGCGUAGAUAUAUGGAGGAACACCAGUGGCGAAGGCGACUCUCUGGUCUGUAACUGACACUGAGGCUCGAAAGCGUGGGGAGCAAACAGG